UCAAGCGAAUAAGCGCACACGGUGGAUGCCUUGGCGGUCAGAGGCGAUGAAGGACGUGGCAGCCUGCGAAAAGUAUCGGGGAGCUGGCAACAAGCUUUGAUCCGGUAAUGUCCGAAUGGGGAAACCCACCCGCUUGCGGGUAUCCUGCAGUGAAUACAUAGCUGCUGGAAGCGAACCUGGUGAACUGAAAUAUCUAAGUAACCAGAGGAAAAGAAAUCAACCGAGAUUCCGUAAGUAGCGACGAGCGAACGCGGACUAGCCCUUAAGCUGAUUUGGUUCUAGGAAAACGCUCUGGAAAGAGCGGCCAUAGAAGGUGAUAGCCCUGUAUCUGAAAGGGCCAUUUCAGUGAAGACGAGUAGGGCGGGGCACGUGAAACCCUGUCUGAACAUGGGGGGACCAUCCUCCAAGGCUAAAUACUACUGACCGACCGAUAGUGAACCAGUACCGUGAGGGAAAGGCGAAAAGAACCCCGGAGAGGGGAGUGAAAUAGAACCUGAAACCGUGUGCGUACAAGCAGUAGGAGCUCCGCAAGGAGUGACUGCGUACCUUUUGUAUAAUGGGUCAGCGACUUACUGUUCGUGGCAAGCUUAACCGUAUAGGGGAGGCGAAGGGAAACCGAGUCUGAUAAGGGCGCAUAGUCGCGGGCAGUAGACCCGAAACCGGGUGAUCUAGUCAUGCCCAGGGUGAAGGUGCGGUAACACGCACUGGAGGCCCGAACCCACUCCCGUUGCAAAGGUAGGGGAUGAGGUGUGAUUAGGAGUGAAAAGCUAAUCGAACCCGGAGAUAGCUGGUUCUCCUCGAAAGCUAUUUAGGUAGCGCCUCAUAUGUAUCCUCUCGGGGGUAGAGCACUGUUAUGGCUAGGGGGUCAUCGCGACUUACCAAACCAUUGCAAACUCCGAAUACCGAGACGGACUGUAUGGGAGACACACGGCGGGUGCUAACGUCCGUCGUGAAAAGGGAAACAACCCAGACCCACAGCUAAGGUCCCAAAUUCACUGCUAAGUGGAAAACCAUGUGGAAAGGCACAGACAGCCAGGAGGUUGGCUUAGAAGCAGCCACCCUUUAAAGAAAGCGUAAUAGCUCACUGGUCGAGUCGGUCUGCGGGGAAGAUUUAACGGGGCUAAGCAGUGAACCGAAGCUUGGGGUGCAUAACUUUGUUAUGCGCGGUAGAGGAGCGUUCCGUAAGCCGUUGAAGGUGGAUUGAGAAGUCUGCUGGAGGUAUCGGAAGUGCGAAUGCUGACAUGAGUAACGAUAAUGCGGGUGAAAAACCCGCACGCCGAAAGCCCAAGGUUUCCUUGCGCAACGUUAAUCGGCGCAGGGUGAGUCGGCCCCUAAGGCGAGGACGAAAGUCGUAGUCGAUGGGAAGCAGGUUAAUAUUCCUGCACCUCGCGUAAGUGCGAUGGAGGGACGGAGAAGGUUAGGUGUACCAGGCGUUGGUUGUCCUGGGGAAAGGCGGUAGGUUUGGAUCUUUGGCAAAUCCGGGAUCCUUUAAGACCGAGCACCGAGACGAGCCUUUAAGGCGAAGUCACUGAUACCACGCUUCCAGGAAAAGCUCCUAAGCUUCAGCUUACGCAGACCGUACCGUAAACCGACACAGGUGGGUAGGAUGAGAAUUCUCAGGCGCUUGAGAGAACUCGGGUGAAGGAACUAGGCAACAUGGCACCGUAACUUCGGGAGAAGGUGCACCCUUUUUGGUGGCUCAUGCGAGCUAUAGCUGAAGAGGGUCGCAGUAACCAGGCCGCUGCGACUGUUUAUCAAAAACACAGCACUCUGCAAACACGAAAGUGGACGUAUAGGGUGUGACGCCUGCCCGGUGCUGGAAGGUUAAUUGAUGGGGUCAGCCGCAAGGCGAAGCUCUUGAUCGAAGCCCCAGUAAACGGCGGCCGUAACUAUAACGGUCCUAAGGUAGCGAAAUUCCUUGUCGGGUAAGUUCCGACCUGCACGAAUGGCGUAACGACAGCGGCGCUGUCUCCACCCGAGACUCAGUGAAAUUGAAAUCGCUGUGAAGAUGCAGCGUUCCCGUGGCAAGACGGAAAGACCCCGUGAACCUUUACUAUAGCUUUACACUGAACGUUGAGUUCGUCUGUGUAGGAUAGGUGGGAGGCUAUGAAACUGUGGCGCCAGCUGCAGCGGAGCCAUCCUUGAAAUACCACCCUGUCGUGCUUGACGUUCUAACCUGGGCCCAUUAUCUGGGUCGGGGACCGUGUAUGGUGGGUAGUUUGACUGGGGCGGUCUCCUCCUAAAGAGUAACGGAGGAGCUCGAAGGUACGCUCAGCGCGGUCGGACAUCGCGCACUGUGUGCAAAGGCAUAAGCGUGCUUGACUGCAAGAUCGACGGAUCAAGCAGGUAGGAAACUAGGACUUAGUGAUCCGGUGGUUCUGUAUGGAAGGGCCAUCGCUCAACGGAUAAAAGGUACUCCGGGGAUAACAGGCUGAUACCGCCCAAGAGUUCAUAUCGACGGCGGUGUUUGGCACCUCGAUGUCGGCUCAUCACAUCCUGGGGCUGUAGUCGGUCCCAAGGGUAUGGCUGUUCGCCAUUUAAAGUGGUACGCGAGCUGGGUUCAGAACGUCGUGAGACAGUUCGGUCCCUAUCUGCCAUGGGCGUUGGAGAUUUGAGAGGGGCUGCUCCUAGUACGAGAGGACCGGAGUGGACGAACCUCUGGUGUUCCGGUUGUCACGCCAGUGGCAUUGCCGGGUAGCUAUGUUCGGAAGCGAUAACCGCUGAAAGCAUCUAAGCGGGAAGCGCGCCUCAAGAUGAGAUCUCCCGGGGCACAAGCCCCCUGAAGGAACCAUGUAGACUACGUGGUUGAUAGGUCAGGUGUGUAAGUACAGCAAUGUAUUGAGCUAACUGAUACUAAUGAUCCGUGCGGCUUGACCAU
rnacentral:rRNA from 1 species